CCCCAGUCUGGGCCCUCUCGGUCUUGGGUCAGGACAUCCCUGGGGUCCCUUUCUGGGAACUUCCUGCAUCUGUGCCUGGGGAAUUCUAGGCCACGUGUCAGGACUGUGCGGAAGGACUUGCCGUCUGCCCUGCCUCUCCCACAGCAGGUCCAGGAGGGCAGUGGCCUAGGUCAGAGCUGUUCCCCGCUCCUGAGCAGGCCAUAGCCUGUCCCUGGGCACUGGGACGGCCCCUGUUCAGAGCUGACACCACCACGCACCUCAUGAGGGCCUGGACCCUGGCUUCUUCCAGCGGCAUCCUCAGCUCCUGGCACGCACUAGCGGCUCCAUUUUCAUUUAUUCACGAGAGACACAGGCAGAGGGAGAAGCAGGCUCCCCGUAUGGAGCCCGAUGUAUGACGCAAUCCAGGACCUGAGCUGAAGGCAGACGCUCCACCGCUGAGCCCUCGGGGUGCCCCUGUUCUGGAAGUUUUAUCGACAGAUUGGAGAACUUUGUGGCUGGGUUAUGGAGCAGGAGAGAGACUUACUCUGGGUGUCCUUUCUACUCUUUGCAUUUUGAACCACUGGGGCAGCCCUGGUGGCAGGAGCGGGACCUCCUGCGGGUGCAGCACCAGCUUCUGGGGCGGCUCCACCUGCCUCUACAGAGGAGGCUCACGGCGUUGGCAUCGGCCAGGGUCCUUGCAAAAGGCCUGGCCCGAAAGGUUCAACGUGUGCACCCGCUGCUUUGGCGAGGGCGUCGAUCCCAGGCCCUGCGACCGUCCCCUCAUGGGUGCGUGGGCCAAGGCAGAGCCAGGGCGGAGGCUUCGGUGUGGGGGGAGCCGAGCGGGCCUGGCGGGCGUGGGGCUCAUCGGCCAGGAGGUGAGGGCCUCACCCCGGUGUGGCACCUGAGCGGCAGCCGAGCUGGGGGCCGGGAUCCUCUCUUCCCUGGGAUCCUCUUCUCUGUCGGGGUUUCACGCAUCGUCUGGAACGAUCCGGGUGGGGAAGCUGCUCAGGGAGGCUGAGCACCUCGCGCAUGGUCACCGAGGAGCGGGCCUGGAAUCUGGCCGUCGGGCUGCGGACCGGCUCCCCCCACGCUGCUCCCCGUCUCUGCUGGAGAUGCGCCCUCCGUCCGGCUGCUGCUCCUCACUUGCGAGAACACUCACGACGAUUCUGGGCACAAAAUGACUGGAGGCCUCGGAGCCAAGAGCCACAAUCUCCUGGCAACACGGGCUGCCUGGACAGGCUCCUCCACCGAGUUCGGCGCCGGCUGGGAGGGUGCGGGUCCUCACCUGUGGGCUCCCCCUCCUCUCGUGCUCCUCCUCAGGCCUCCUUUUUCUCUCUUCUCCCAGCCUCCUUCUGGCCUCUCUCUCGGGCCCUGAGCCCAACUGCCCCUGAGCUAUUUGCCAGGAAAUAGGGGUGGGGGUGGGGUAGGUCUGAGCUCUCUGCUUUUAUUUAUUUUUUUUUAAGAUUUUAUUUAUUCAUGAGAGACAGAGAGAGACAGGCAGAGACACAGGCAGAGGGAGAAGCAGGCUCCCUGCAGGGAGCCCGAUGGGGAACUCGAUCCCGGGACUCCAGGGUCAUGCCCUGGGCUGAAGGCAGACGCUCAACUGCUGAGCCACUGGACGCCCCACUUCUGCUGCUUGGAUGCAGGAGGCCGAGCUGACACAGCUGCCUGGGGGGA